ACUCAAAUGAAUUGACGGGGGCCCGCACAAGCGGUGGAGCAUGUGGUUCAAUUCGACGCAACGCGAAGAACCUUACCUGGGCUCGAAGCGCAGUGGAAUGAGGUGGAAACAUCUCAGCCCGCAAGGGCCGCUGCGGAGGUGCUGCAUGGCUGUCGUCAGCUCGUGUCGUGAGAUGUUGGGUUAAGUCCCGCAACGAGCGCAACCCUUAUCGUUAGUUGCCACCGGGUCAAGCCGGGCACUCUAGCGAAACCGCCUCGGAUAACGGGGAGGAAGGUGGGGAUGACGUCAAGUCCUCAUGGCCUUUAUGUCCAGGGCUACACACGUGCUACAAUGCGCGGUACAAAGCGUCGCAAACCCGUGAGGGGGAGCUAAUCGCAAAAAGCCGUGCUCAGUUCGGAUUGGAGUCUGCAACCCGACUCCAUGAAGCUGGAAUCGCUAGUAAUCGCAGAUCAGAACGCUGCGGUGAAUACGUUCCCGGGCCUUGUACACACCGCCCGU
rnacentral:rRNA from 1 species